AUUGAACGCUGGCGGCAGGCCUAACACAUGCAAGUCGAACGAGUGGCGGACGGGUGAGUAAUGUUUGGGAAACUGGCUUAUGGAGGGGGAUAACUACGGGAAACGGUAGCUAAUACCGCGUACCAUCAGAUGAGCCCAGGUGGGAUUAGGUAGUUGGUGGGGUAAAGGCUCACCAAGCCGACGAUCCCUAGCUGGUCUGCGAGGAUGACCAGCCACACUGGAACUGAGACACGGCCCAGACUCCUACGGGAGGCAGCAGGGGGGAAUCUUCGACAAUGGGCGCAAGUCUGACCGAGCAACGCCGCGUGAGUGAAGAAGGUUUUCGGAUCGUAAAACUCUUUUGUCAGAGAAGCGUUAUCUAACCAGAAAGCAACGGCUAACUCCGUGCCAGCAGCCGCGGUAAUAC
rnacentral:rRNA from 1 species